rnacentral:rRNA from 1 species
GAGUUUACAACUCCCAAACCCCAAUGUGAACGUUACCAAUCUGUUGCCUCGGCGGGAUUCUCUUGCCCCGGGCGCGUCGCAGCCCCGGAUCCCAUGGCGCCCGCCGGAGGACCAACUCCAAACUCUUUUUUUCUCUCCGUCGCGGCUCCCGUCGCGGCUCUGUUUUAUUUUUGCUCUGAGCCUUUCUCGGCGACCCUAGCGGGCGUCUCGAAAAUGAAUCAAAACUUUCAACAACGGAUCUCUUGGUUCUGGCAUCGAUGAAGAACGCAGCGAAAUGCGAUAAGUAAUGUGAAUUGCAGAAUUCAGUGAAUCAUCGAAUCUUUGAACGCACAUUGCGCCCGCCAGUAUUCUGGCGGGCAUGCCUGUCCGAGCGUCAUUUCAACCCUCGAACCCCUCCGGGGGGUCGGCGUUGGGGAUCGGCCCCUCACCGGGCCGCCCCCGAAAUACAGUGGCGGUCUCGCCGCAGCCUCUCCUGCGCAGUAGUUUGCACACUCGCACCGGGAGCGCGGCGCGGCCACAGCCGUAAAACACCCCAAACUUCUGAAAUGUUGACCUCGGAUCAGGUAGGAAUACCCGCUGAACUUAAGCAUA